AUGGAGGCACCACAUGAGCAAUUAUGUCUACAGAUGUGUUUCAAGGAUCAACAUCAAUUCAGAGAGGCUUUGUUGAACUUACACAUCACUCAAGGCAGAAACUUCAAAUAUCAUAGGAACUCAGAUCAAAGAAUAAUUGCAGAAUGCAACCAAAAACAUUGCAACUUCUUUAUGGUGGCAGCAGUUAUAAAAGGUGAAACUACUUUUGUAAUUAAGAAGAUGAGAAUUAAGCACACUUGCCCUAUUAGUACAGAGACAACAAGGGUAAGUGCCAAGUGGCUUGCACAGAAGUAUGAGUCACUGUUCAGAUCUGAUCUAACAACUGGCAUUCAGACUUUGAUUGAUGCCUGCAUGGAGAAGUAUGGUGUGGAUGUGCCCAAGUCAAUGGCAUAUAGGGCACAGAACCUAGCUAUUGAUGCCGUGCUAGGAGACCACAAGAAGCAAUACCCUAGGUUGAAAGACUAUGCUCAGACAGUGAUGGAUACAAACCCUGGGAGUAGAGUAGUAGUCACUACUGUAACCCCAACACCCACUGAAAAAAUCCCCCAUCCAGGUCCAAGAUUCCAUGCUAUGUUCUAUUGCAUCAAUGGAGCAAGGGAGGGGUUUCUCAAGGGGUGCAGACCAUUCAUUGGUGUUGAUGGGUGCUUCAUUAAGUUAACUACUGGUGCUCAACUACUUGCUGCCACUGGUAGAGAUGGCAACAACAAUAUAUACCCACUAGCAUUUGGUAUUGUUGGGCAAGAGGACACACCUAACUGGUGUUGGUUUCUACACCAACUUAAAAUCUGCCUAGGAGGAGAAGUGGGAAGGUUUGGUCCAUAUACAAUAAUGUCAGAUAGACAAAAGGGCCUACUAAAUGCAGUGAAUGCUGUCUUUCCUAAGUGCAACCAAAGGUUCUGCCUUAGGCAUAUCUAUGCAAACUUCCAAAAUGCUGGGUUUAGGGGGGAAGAUCUGAAAAAGUGUAUGGAUAAUGCUGCCUAUGCAUAUAGUGAACACAAAUUUAACAUUGCAAUGAAUGACCUUAGAGCUGAGUGUGAGCAAGCUUGGGAGUGGCUUUGUCAAAUACCCAAGAAAACAUGGGCAAGGCAUGCAUUUGACACAAACUGCAAGACUGACCUUGUAGUUAACAAUUUAUCUGAGGUGUUCAACAAGUAUGUCCUAGAUGUUAGGAAGAAACCAAUUAGGACAAUGUGUGAUGGAAUAAAGGAUAAGCAGAUGGUGAGGUGGCAUAGGAAUAGGGAGAGUGGAAAGAAAGCUAGAUGGGACAUAACACCCCAUUAUAGGGAGAAGCUAGAGGUUGAGAAGGAGAGGGCCAAAUAUUGCAAACCAAUUCAAGCUGGUGUGGACUUGUGGCAAGUUACAAGUGGGCAGCAAACCCAUGAUGUUAACUUGCAAAUGCACACAUGUGAGUGCAGAAAAUGGGACCUAAGUGGCAUCCCAUGUAACCAUGCCAUCUCAGCAAUAAACAAGGCCAAAAGAAAACCAGAGGAUUAUGUCAGCAAGUUCUUCAAGAAAGAAAUUUAUCUGGCAGCUUAUGAACCAAUGAUCUAUCCAGUUCCUGGUGAGCAUGACUGGACAAGGACCCCUGGUCCAGACAUUGACCCACCUGCAUUUAAAGUGAAGAGAGGAAGAAAGAAAGAGAAGAGGAUCAAGGGGAAAUUUGAAGUUCCAAAGCCUAAGGAGACAUCAAGAAUGGGGACUAUAACAUGUGGCAAUUGUGGACUGCAAGGACAUAGGUACACAAGCUGCAACAAGCAGUUGAAGCCUGAGCUGGCUUUGAGGAAGAACAAACAUGUGCCUCUUGCAAGGAAUUCCAAUGCUGGUGCUGCUGCUACUACACAAGCAUCAAGAACUUCUCAUCCAACUCCUACAACAACACCAACAGCUGGAACAGGAGCUGGGAGAGGAGUUGGGAGAGGGGUUGCAGCUGUAGCUGCUGGGAGUGAUGCUGCUAGAGGUGCUGGUAGAGGUGCUGGGAGAGGUGCUGGGAGAGGGAGAGGUACAUUCUCUGCCCCAAGGCAAUCUGGUCCCUCCACAUCUACUGCUCCCUCUACAUCUACUGCUACUCCACCUUCUGGUGGUAGAAACAGAGGAUGGAGAGCCUACUUCUAUGCAAGUGGUAACCACUAA
rnacentral:rRNA from 1 species